rnacentral:rRNA from 1 species
GACGAACGCUGGCGGCGUGCCUAACACAUGCAAGUCGAACGGAGAUGCCGAGGUAGCUUGCUACAUUGGUAUCUUAGUGGCGGACGGGUGAGUAACACGUGGGCAACCUGCCCCAAAGAGGGGGAUAACACCGAGAAAUCGGUGCUAAUACCGCAUAACAUUAGAGCUUCGCAUGGAGCUUUAAUCAAAGGAGCAAUCCGCUUUGGGAUGGGCCCGCGUCUGAUUAGCUAGUUGGUGAGGUAACGGCUCACCAAGGCGACGAUCAGUAGCCGAUCUGAGAGGAUGACCGGCCACACUGGAACUGAGACACGGUCCAGACUCCUACGGGAGGCAGCAGUGGGGAAUAUUGCACAAUGGGGGAAACCCUGAUGCAGCAACGCCGCGUGGAGGAAGAAGGUCUUCGGAUUGUAAACUCCUGUCUUCUGGGACGAAUAAUGACGGUACCAUACGAGGAAGCCCCGGCAAACUACGUGCCAGCAGCCGCGGUAAACUCGU